rnacentral:rRNA from 1 species
GACGAACGCUGGCGGCGUGCUUAACACAUGCAAGUCGAACGCUGAAGCUCAGCUUUUGUUGGGUGGAUGAGUGGCGAACGGGUGAGUAACACGUGAGUAACCUGCCCCCUUCUUUGGGAUAACGCCCGGAAACGGGUGCUAAUACUGGAUAUUCACUGGUCUUCGCAUGGGGGUUGGUGGAAAGGGUUUUUCUGGUGGGGGAUGGGCUCGCGGCCUAUCAGCUUGUUGGUGGGGUGAUGGCCUACCAAGGCUUUGACGGGUAGCCGGCCUGAGAGGGUGACCGGUCACAUUGGGACUGAGAUACGGCCCAGACUACUACGGGAGGCAGCAGUGGGGAAUAUUGCACAAUGGGCGCAAGCCUGAUGCAGCGACGCCGCGUGAGGGAUGGAGGCCUUCGGGUUGUGAACCUCUUUCGCUCAUGGUCAAGCCGCAACAAUGGUUGUGGUGAGGGUAGUGGGUAAAGAAGCGCCGGCUAACUACGUG